rnacentral:rRNA from 1 species
UAGGGAAUCUUGGACAAUGGGCGAAAGCCUGAUCCAGCCAUGCCGCGUGAGUGAUGAAGGCCUUAGGGUUGUAAAGCUCUUUCGCCAGGGAAGAUAAUGACGGUACCUGGAUAAGAAGCCCCGGCAAACUUCGUGCCAGCAGCCGCGGUAAUACGAAGGGGGCUAGCGUUGUUCGGAAUUACUGGGCGUAAAGCGCACGUAGGCGGUUUUCCGAGUUGGAGGUGAAAUCCCUGGGCUCAACCCGGGAACUGCCUCCAAAACUGGAUGACUCGAGUCCGAGAGAGGUGAGUGGAAUUUCCAGUGUAGAGGUGAAAUUCGUAGAUAUUGGAAAGAACACCAGUGGCGAAGGCGGCUCACUGGCUCGGUACUGACGCUGAGGCACGAAAGCGUGGGGAUCAAACA